GGCGAUCAGAUACCGCCCUAGUUCUGACCGUAAACGAUGCCAACUAGCGAUCCGCCGGCGGAUUUAUUCGCCCUGGUGGGGAGCUUCCCGGAAACGAAAGUCUUCCGGUUCCGGGGGAAGUAUGGUUGCAAAGCUGAAACUUAAAGGAAUUGACGGAAGGGCACCACCAGGAGUGGAGCCUGCGGCUUAAUUUGACUCAACACGGGGAAACUCACCCGGCCCGGACACCGUAAGGAUUGACAGAUUGAUAGCUUUUUCAUGAUUCGGUGGAUGGUGGUGCAUGGCCGUUCUUAGUUCGUGGAGCGAUUUGUCUGGUUUAUUCCGAUAACGAGCGAGACUCUAGCCUACUAAAUAGUUGGCUCAUUGCUUCUGUGGGCACAACUUCUUAGAGGGAUUUUCGGUGUUCAGCCGCACGAAAUUGAGCAAUAACAGGUCUGUGAUGCCCUUAGAUGUCCGGGGCUGCACGCGCGCUACACUGGCAAAAUCAGCGUGCUUGUCCUUCCCCGAAAGGGGUUGGUAAACCGGUGAAAAUUUGCCGUGAUUGGGAUCGGACAUUGCAAUUAUUGUCCGUGAACGAGGAAUUCCUUGUAGGGGCGAGUCAUCAACUCGCUCUGAUUACGUCCCUGCCCUUUGUA
rnacentral:rRNA from 1 species